rnacentral:rRNA from 1 species
UACGUAGGGACCAAGCGUUGUUCGGAUUUACUGGGCGUAAAGGGCGCGUAGGCGGCGUGGUAAGUCACUUGUGAAAUCUCCGGGCUUAACUCGGAACGGCCAAGUGAAACUGUCAAGCUAGAGUGCAGAAGGGGCAAUCGGAAUUCUUGGUGUAGCGGUGAAAUGCGUAGAUAUCAAGAGGAACACCUGAGGUGAAGACGGGUUGCUGGGCUGACACUGACGCUGAGGCGCGAAAGCCAGGGGAGCAAACGGG